rnacentral:rRNA from 1 species
UACGUAGGGGGCAAGCGUUGUCCGGAAUCAUUGGGCGUAAAGAGCGUGUAGGCGGCCCGGUAAGUCCGCUGUAAAAGUCAAAGGCUCAACCUUUGAAUGUCAGUGGAUACUGCCGGGCUAGAGUCCGGAAGAGGCGAGUGGAACUCCUGGUGUAGCGGUGGAAUGCGCAGAUAUCAGGAAGAACACCAAUAGCGAAGGCAGCUCGCUGGGACGGUACUGACGCUGAGGCGCGAAAGCGUGGGGAGCGAACAGG